rnacentral:misc_RNA from 1 species
GAUGAAGAACGCAGCGAAAUGCGAUAAGUAAUGUGAAUUGCAGAAUUCAGUGAAUCAUCGAGUCUUUGAACGCACAUUGCGCCCCCUGGUAUUCCGGGGGGCAUGCCUGUCCGAGCGUCAUUGCUGCCCUCAAGCACGGCUUGUGUGUUGGGCCGCCGUCCCCGGUUUCCCCCGGGGACGGGCCCGAAAGGCAGCGGCGGCACCGCGUCCGAUCCUCGAGCGUAUGGGGCUUUGUCCCCCGCUCUGUAGGCCCGGCCGGCGCCAGCCGACACCCAACUUUAUUUCUAAGGUUGACCUCGGAUCAGGUAGGGAUACCCGCUGAACUUAAGCAUAUCAAUAAGCGGAGGA